rnacentral:rRNA from 1 species
GACGAACGCUGGCGGCGUGCCUAAUACAUGCAGGUAGAACGCUGAAGGAGGAGCUUGCUUCUCUGGAUGAUUUGCGAACGGGUGAGUAACGCGUAGGUAACCUGCCUGGUAGCGGGGGAUAACUAUUGGAAACGAUAGCUAAUACCGCAUAAGAGUAGAUGUUGCAUGACAUUCACUUAAAAGGUGCAAUUGCAUCACUACCAGAUGGACCCGCGUUGUAUUAGGUAGUUGGUGAGGUAACGGCUCACCAAGGCAACGAUACAUAGCCGACCUGAGAGGGUGGUCGGGCACACUGGGACUGGGAAAAGGCCCAGACUCCUACGGGAAGGAGCAGUAAGGAAUCUUCGGCAAUGGGGCGAAGGCUGGACGGGGAACGCCGCGUGAGUGAAGGAAGGUUUCGGAUCGUAAAACUCUGUUGUAAGGGGAGAAAGAGUGUGGGAGUGGAAAGUUCACGCUGUGACGGUAUCUUACCAGAAAGCGACGGCUAACUACGUG